rnacentral:rRNA from 1 species
AUUGAACGCUGGCGGCAGGCCUAACACAUGCAAGUCGAACGAGUGGCGGACGGGUGAGUAAUGUCUGGGAAACUGCCUGAUGGAGGGGGAUAAAUACUGGAAAGGGUAGCUAAUCCCGCAUAACAUCAGAUGUGCCCAGAUGGGAUUAGCGAGUUGGGGGUGUAAGGGCUCACCUAGGCGACGAUCCCUAGCUGGUCUGAGAGGAUGAACAGCCACACUGGAACGGAGACACGGCCCAGACUCCUACGGGAGGCAGCAGUGGGGAAUAUUGCACAAUGGGCGCAAGCCUGAUGCAGCCAUGCCGCGUGUAUGAAGAAGGCCUUCGGGUUGUAAAGUACUUUCAGCGGGGAGGCGUUACCGGCAGAAGAAGCACCGGCUAACUCCGUGCCAGCAGCCGCGGUAAUAC